AGAGUUUGAUCAUGGCUCAGGACGAACGCUGGCGGCGUGCCUAACACAUGCAAGUCGAGCGGGGAACGGAUGGUAGCUUGCUACUGUUUGUUUCUAGCGGCGGACGGGUGAGUAACGCGUGAGCAACCUGCCUUUAUCAGGGGGAUAACGCAUCGAAAGAUGUGCUAAUACCGCGUAAGACCACAGCUUCACAUGGAGCGGGGGUCAAAGGAGCAAUCCGGAUAAAGAUGGGCUCGCGUCCGAUUAGCUAGUUGGUGAGAUAACAGCCCACAAGGCGACGAUCGGUAGCCGACCUGAGAGGGUGAUCGGCCACAUUGGAACUGAGAGACGGUCCAGACUCACGGGAGCA
rnacentral:rRNA from 1 species